AACGAAGUGCCUGAAAUCAAAGGAUUAUUUUGAUAGAAUAAAUUAUGUAAAUUUUUUUACCUUCGUUA
rnacentral:tRNA from 1 species